rnacentral:rRNA from 1 species
UACGAAGGGGCUAGCGUUGUUCGGAAUUACUGGGCGUAAAGCGCACGUAGGCGGAUAUUUAAGUCAGGGUGAAAUCCCAGAGCUCAACUCUGGAACUGCCUUUGAUACUGGGUAUCUUGAGUAUGGAAGAGGUAAGUGGAAUUGCGAGUGUAGAGGUGAAAUUCGUAGAUAUUGGGAAGAACACCGGUGGCGAAGGCGGCGAGCUGGUCCAUUACUGACGCUGAGGCGCGACAGCGUGGGGAGCAACAGG